GCUCCCAAUUUUCCACGGCUACUGGAAUCGGGGUGGAAAAUUGAGAGUUCACAAGUGCUGGUUCGGGUAGCUCAAUUCGCAGCAGGGUUCGGUAGUAAAACCAGUUGAAAGCGGAGAUCGCUUAAUACAUAUAUUGUUUCCAAUAAUAAAACAAAAUAAAAUUAAAAUAAUGUACACAAAAGCACGCCUCUGUGGACUGCCUCCGCACGUCACUGGCUCGGACUGAAGUGGAACGGUCAGUGCGACACUUCCAGUGGAUGCUGGACACGGUGUGUUUCCUCUUAGGUUUGUUAUAUUCCUUUAACAAUCGGAAGUAUAAUUAACACAAAUAAAUUCAGAGUAAUUAAGUGAUUGUUUAAACAAUAGGACUUAGGUACAAAGUACCGCCCUAAGUUACCAAGAGUUCGGGGAAGGUUUAGAAUAACAGGUGUGAAAGUUGACCAGGUACACAGUACCAGCCGUGAGCUUCGGGAAGUAGUUAUCGGGAGUUAGACCGUAGGUGCAAAGCACCGGCCUAAGCUUCUGGAUCAGGUAAGAGAUAACAGGGUUCGAAAUUUAGGCCUUUGGUACAAAGCACCGGCCUAAGCUUCAGGGAGAGCAGGAGAUCUGGAGGGUGGUUCUGGUAGAAGGUUUUGAGCUAUAGGAAGGUGAUCUCAAUUAGUUCUCUCACAGACGGGACACUCGCUUUUAUAUUCAACGGCCGGUUACGUUUGGGGAAUAUUUGGAAAUGGUAAUCGGGAAGGGAUUAACGGGAAGUGGUAUUUGAUACGAUCGGAAAGGUAGGUGGCGACAUCUCACGGAACUUCAGGAAAAUAGUUUUCAUCAUUGCUUCCUAAAAUGAUUAUAAAAA